rnacentral:rRNA from 1 species
AGGGUGGCAGCAGUAGGGAAUCUUCGGCAAUGGGGGCAACCCUGACCGAGCAACGCCGCGUGAGUGAAGAAGGUUUCGGAUCGUAAAGCUCUGUUGUAAGUCAAGAACGGGUGUGAGAGUGGAAAGUUCACACUGUGACGGUAGCUUACCAGAAAGGGACGGCUAACUACGUGCCAGCAGCCGCGGUAAUACGUAGGUCCCGAGCGUUGUCCGGAUUUAUUGGGCGUAAAGCGAGCGCAGGCGGUUUGAUAAGGCUGAAGUUAAAGGCUGUGGCUCAACCAUAGUUCGCUUUGGAAACUGUCAAACUUGAGUGCAGAAGGGGAGGGUGGAACUCCAUGUGUAGCGGUGAAAUGCGUAGAUAUAUGGAGGAACACCGGUGGCGAAAGCGGCUCUCUGGUCUGUAACUGACGCUGAGGCUCGAAAGCGUGGGGAGCAAACAGGAUUAGAUACCCUGGUA